rnacentral:rRNA from 1 species
AGUGAACGCUGGCGGUAGGCCUAAAACAUGCAAGUCGAACGGCAGCACAGUAAGAGCUUGCUCUUACGGGUGGCGAGUGGCGGACGGGUGAGGAAUACAUCGGAAUCUACUUUUUCGUGGGGGAUAACGUAGGGAAACUUACGCUAAUACCGCAUACGACCUACGGGUGAAAGCAGGGGAUCUUCGGACCUUGCGCGAUUGAAUGAGCCGAUGUCGGAUUAGCUAGUUGGCGGGGUAAAGGCCCACCAAGGCGACGAUCCGUAGCUGGUCUGAGAGGCUGAUCAGCCACACUGGAACUGAGACACGGUCCAGACUCCUACGGGAGGCAGCAGGGGGGAAUAUUGGGCAAUGGGGGCAAGCCUGAUCCAGCCAUACCGCGUGGGUGAAGAAGGCCGUCGGGUUGUAAAGCCCUUUUGUUGGGAAAGAAAAGCAGCAGGUUAAUACCCCGCUGUUCUGACGGUACCCAAAGAAUAAGCACCGGCUAACUUCGUG